CCCCCACUGUAGAAACCAUAAGCAUAGGAAGAUGUUCUCAGAGCAGUGCUGUGCCAUCUUGGGCAGGGGGAACAUGUUCAAGGGGAGCACAGAAAUUAUUUUGGGAUCUACUCAUCUGGCCUCUAUGUGAUUCUGGAGCCUAUGAAACAACCAUAAGAUGACCUCAUGGAUGUGCUGGGUUCACUGUGAGAUGGAAAUUGUCCAACAUUCCGUUUAUCACAUGACUUCCCCAGUCUUUCGCUCUGACCUAUGAAUUGGUAGCAGCGUUCUGCGCCUCCAGGGGGUUAAUGAUGACUGAGAGCCAGUGAUCAGUAACUGUACAAACAUCUCAGCAUGUCUGUUUUCCUAUAUAUUCUAUUCUCAGAACUGGUCCUGGGUAUCUCUGGCCAAAGGCAGAAAGAAAAUGCCGUGUAUCCUGUGGCACUGUCAUAAAACCUUUUUUGAAGGGUCCUA